GAUGAACGCUGGCGGCGUGCCUAAUACAUGCAAGUCGAGCGAACAGACGAGGAUCUUGCUCCUCUGACGUUAGCGGCGGACGGGUGAGUAACACGUGGAUAACCUACCUAUAAGACUGGGAUAACUUCGGGAAACCGGAGCUAAUACCGGAUAAUAUAUUGAACCGCAUGGUUCAAUAGUGAAAGACGGUUUUGCUGUCACUUAUAGGUGGAUCCGCGCCGCAUUAGCUAGUUGGUAAGGUAACGGCUUACCAAGGCAACGAUGCGUAGCCGACCUGAGAGGGUGAUCGGCCACACUGGAACUGAGACACGGUCCAGACUCCUACGGGAGGCAGCAGUAGGGAAUCUUCCGCAAUGGGCGAAAGCCUGACGGAGCCACGCCGCGUGAGUGAUGAAGGUCUUCGGAUCGUAAAACUCUGUUAUUAGGGAAGAACAAAUGUGUAAGUAACUAUGCACGUCUUGACGGUACCUAAUCAGAAAGCAACGGCUAACUACGUG
rnacentral:rRNA from 1 species